rnacentral:misc_RNA from 1 species
CAGUGGGGGCCUCGCGGCCCCUGCCGAGAUUGCACCCUUUGUCCUUGGAGCACCGAACGUUUUCCCCGGCAGGUCCGCCUGCCAGCGGGGACCACAACCAAAACCCUUGCAGUCGUUGCAGUAAACGUACAAAAACAAACAAUCA